UACGGAGGGUGCGAGCGUUGUCCGGAAUCAUUGGGCGUAAAGGGCGCGUAGGUGGCCCGGUCAGUUCGUGGUGAAAGCGCGGGGCUCAACCCUGCGUCGGCCAUGAAUACUGCCGCGGCUGGAGCACUGUAGAGGCAGGCGGAAUUCCGGGUGUAGCGGCGGAAUGCGUAGAGAUCCGGAAGAACACCGGUGGCGAAGGCGGCCUGCUGGGCAGUUGCUGACACUGAGGCGCGACAGCGUGGGGAGCAAACAGG
rnacentral:rRNA from 1 species